UGCUACAAUGGGUAGUACAGAGAGUCGCAAAGCCGCGAGGUGGAGCUAAUCUCAGAAAACUAUUCUUAGUUCGGAUUGUACUCUGCAACUCGAGUACAUGAAGUUGGAAUCGCUAGUAAUCGCGAAUCAGCAAUGUCGCGGUGAAUACUGUUCUCGGGUCUUGUACACACCGCCCGUCACACCACGAGAGUUGGUUGCACCUGAAGUAGCAGGCCUAACCGUAAGGAGGGAUGCUCCGAGGGUGUGAUUAGCGAUUGGGGUGAAGUCGUAACAAGGUAUCCGUACGGGAACGU
rnacentral:rRNA from 1 species